GGAGAGGUAUCGAAGCGGUCAUAACGAGGCGGUCUUGAAAACCGUUUGUCCUACGGGGCGCGUGGGUUCGAAUCCCAUCCUCUCCGCGA
rnacentral:tRNA from 1 species